AGUGGGGAAUAUUGCGCAAUGGGGGCAACCCUGACGCAGCCAUGCCGCGUGUGUGAAGAAGGCCUUAGGGUUGUAAAGCACUUUCACUUGGGAAGAAAAGCUGUUGCCUAAUACGUAACAGCCCUGACAUUACCAUGAGAAGAAGCACCGGCUAACUCCGUGCCAGCAGCCGCGGUAAUACGGAGGGUGCGAGCGUUAAUCGGAAUUACUGGGCGUAAAGCGCGCGUAGGCGGUUUGUUAAGUCGGAUGUGAAAGCCCCGGGCUCAACCUGGGAAUUGCACCCGAUACUGGCCGACUAGAGUACGAGAGAGGGAGGUAGAAUUCCACGUGUAGCGGUGAAAUGCGUAGAUAUGUGGAGGAAUACCGGUGGCGAAGGCGGCCUCCUGGCUCGAUACUGACGCUGAGGUGCGAAAGCGUGGGGAGCAAA
rnacentral:rRNA from 1 species